rnacentral:rRNA from 1 species
UCUUCGGAAUUAGAGACCGGCGCACGGGUGCGUAACGCGUAUGCAAUCUACCUUUUACAGAGGGAUAGCCCAGAGAAAUUUGGAUUAAUACCUCAUAGUAUAGCAGUUUCGCAUGAAACCACUAUUAAAGUCACAACGGUAAAAGAUGAGCAUGCGUCCCAUUAGCUAGUUGGUAAGGUAACGGCUUACCAAGGCUACGAUGGGUAGGGGUCCUGAGAGGGAGAUCCCCCACACUGGUACUGAGACACGGACCAGACUCCUACGGGAGGCAGCAGUGAGGAAUAUUGGACAAUGGGCGCAAGCCUGAUCCAGCCAUGCCGCGUGCAGGAUGACGGUCCUAUGGAUUGUAAACUGCUUUUAUACAGGAAGAAACCCUGGUUCGUGAACCAGCUUGACGGUACUGUAAGAAUAAGGAUCGGCUAACUCCGUGCCAGCAGCCGCGGUAAUACGGAGGAUCCAAGCGUUAUCCGGAAUCAUUGGGUUUAAAGGGUCCGUAGGCGGUUUAAUAAGUCAGUGGUGAAAGCCCAUCGCUCAACGGUGGAACGGCCAUUGAUACUGUUAAACUUGAAUUAUUAGGAAGUAACUAGAAUAUGUAGUGUAGCGGUGAAAUGCUUAGAGAUUACAUGGAAUACCAAUUGCGAAGGCAGGUUACUACUAAUUGAUUGACGCUGAUGGACGAAAGCGUGGGUAGCGAACAGGAUUAGAUACCCUGGUAGUCCACGCCGUAAACGAUGGAUACUAGCUGUUGGGAGCAAUCUCAGUGGCUAAGCGAAAGUGAUAAGUAUCCCACCUGGGGAGUACGUUCGCAAGAAUGAAACUCAAAGGAAUUGACGGGGGCCCGCACAAGCGGUGGAGCAUGUGGUUUAAUUCGAUGAUACGCGAGGAACCUUACCAAGGCUUAAAUGUAGUUUGACCGAUUUGGAAACAGAUUUUUCGCAAGACAAAUUACAAGGUGCUGCAUGGUUGUCGUCAGCUCGUGCCGUGAGGUGUCAGGUUAAGUCCUAUAACGAGCGCAACCCCUGUUGUUAGUUGCCAGCGAGUCAUGUCGGGAACUCUAACAAGACUGCCAGUGCAACUGUGAG